GCAGAAGGUCUUGAUGGUAAGGUAUGUCUUUUUGCUGAUGAUACUAAGAUAUGUAACAGGGUUGAUGUUCCAGGAGGGAUAAGCCAAAUGACAAAUGAUUUAGGUAAACUAGAAAAAUGGUCAGAAUUGUGGCAACUGACAUUUAAUGUGGAUAAGUGCAAGAUAAUGCAUCUUGGACGUAAAAACCCAAGGGCAGAGUACAGAAUAUUUGAUAGAGUCCUAACC